AGCAGCCAGAGAGGCAGGAGCUCCCUCAGCCAUGAUAUGAGACGCAGUGGGAACCACAGGCCAUGGUUGGAAUGAGGUCAUUGUGUCUAUACCAGCUGCUACUGGAUUUGCAGCAGGGCUCUGGAUCCCUGCAAAGGCAGAGCAGGAAAGUUUGCAGAAAGUUGUUGCUUGCAAGAGCACGUGCAUAUUUUUGACUGGCUCCUGAGGCAGAAGAGAGGAGGGAACUCAGCCCUGGAGACUCAGCCAGGCUCAGAGAAGGGAAGGAGCCCUGGGACCACAGAGCUUGGGGAGGAACCACCCUGCAGCCUGCCUGUGAAGUGAACCUGCCCUUAGUGAUGGGGAGAAGACAACCUGAUAUCCUUUUUUUCCCUCCCUGAGGCAGAGGGACCCAUGUGGAGGACAAAAGGGGUGAUACCACAGCCAGCUGGAGCAGAGGAGAGCUGCUUUUCCCCAUGAGGCUCUAGCAG